rnacentral:rRNA from 1 species
AUGUUUGAGCAAUUUGGCAGUGCUCUUUACAAGGCAGGGGCUUAUGAACUAGAUGUUGCUGUACCAAAAAAGGUAUACAUUCUUACUCAUGUGGAUGCUCUCUCUCGUGAGAAAUGGAGCAAGGUCCAGUUCAAGGUUGAUGUUGAUGUUGAUCGGACCUUUUUCAACUGCGAGUGUGGUAUUUUCGAGCAUUCUGGAAUGGUCUGCUGCCAUGCACUGAAGGUUAUGAUCGAGCUCAAGUUGAGCAAGAUACCAGAAAAGCACAUAUUGAAGCGAUGGACUAGGGAUGCCCGUGAUAUCUUGCCUGAUCAUCUCGUUCGGUACCAGAAGGACAGAGGGCCACAUGGCUUUGACACUUACAGGCACAACACCAUGUACAUGAAGGCAAUGGAGUGUGUUCGACUCGGUGAUAGUAACGUGAAGUGCUAUGAUGUUUUCAUGGCAAUGAUG